rnacentral:lncRNA from 1 species
GGAGUCCGAAGUCAAAAGUGAAGGAUAUCUGAUUCCUAUGGUUUGGAGAUCUCCCUGUUGAGUUUUGAGGAGACAAUUGCACUUGUACGUACACUGAACAUCAGUGGCUUGCAGGGAACUAGAGGGCUUGACACAUCCCUUGCAUCUUCCAUUUACUCUGACCACAGUCCCUCCCUGUUCUCACAAGUGGAGCUAAGCCCUGCUUCCCUUCCUCUUGAUUCCCAGCCAGCUACAUGGUAAGUUUUCAUUAUCCCUGUACUUGUUGCCACAAGGUAAAAUUCUGGCAGACUCACUCUAAAAUCCAUUAGCACUGGGCAUUGAGGGCAGACCACUUCAUGCCCAUCAGUGGUCGUUCAGUCCUGUUCCAGGCUGACUGUAAGGGAAGGAAGAUAGUAUUGAAUUAGCAUUGGAGCUGAACUUCAGCAUAGAUUGUUAUAGGAAUAAAAUAUGAAGUAAAAUAUGUGACA